UACGUAGGGGGCAAGCGUUGUCCGGAAUCAUUGGGCGUAAAAGAGCGUGUAGGCGGCCUGAUAAGUCGGCUGUGAAAGUCAGGGGCUCAACUGGGGAGGGUCACGCGAUACUGAUCGACUCGAAGGCAGGAGAGGGAAGUGGAAUUCCCGGUGUAGUGGUGAAAUGCGUAGAUAUCGGGAGGAACACCAGUGGCGAAGGCGACUUCCUGGCCUGUUCUUGACGCUGAGGCGC
rnacentral:rRNA from 1 species